UACUGACCAGCUUUUUCGAACAAAAAAAAAAAAACAAAAAUAACUUUCUCUUAGAGAAAACUUUCUUACUUGUUAGGAAAGAAACUUUAAAACUUUUAUUCAAAUAAACAUUAAACACUUAAGUCUAUUACUAUAUGGGUCAGAAGACACUCUUGGUACCAGGAACACAAAACUCGUCUCUCUCAUCUAGUACAGAAAUACAAACAGCAAACUAAGAGACAAAAACAGGGAGAAGGGCCCUCAGGAGGAGAGAAGUGCAGCUCAAAGCAGAGAUGGCGCCUAUAAGGUCAUGAGGUCAAGGCAAAGGAAGAGUCUAUUAGGAAGAUAAAAGGGUGAAAGCAGCAACCAUGGCAGACCAGUAAGAAUCUAGCUGAGGGGCACCAGACGGUGAAAGACCUUAAGCUAUACUGCAGAGUCUCUCAAGGAACGUGAUCCUGGAGGUGGUGCAAAGGGGAGAGGCCAGCAGAGGUCAGAAAGAAGGUCAGCAUCUCAGGCCUGAGGCUAGGAAUGGCUGAAAAGAGAGAGAGCAGUGCGACAAAGUCGCAGGGGAGCAGACAGGACCUAGUGACCAAAUGGAUGUAAACUGUGAGGUAAAUGAGAUAUGGUAAUGCUGAGGCUUUUAAGUCUACAGAAAGUUAUAAACAUUUCCUUUUAAAAAUUAAAAUUAGCAGAGUGACAAAAUUUUAGAGCCAAAAGGGCCUUUCCUAGUCACAGUGGGCCCCAGAGUUGUAGAGCCUGGCAGUUAAGAAGUAACAUGAGCAAGAAGUCUAGCAGAGGUGACAGUGACUCCAGCAGCUGCUAAAAGGAAAGCUUGAAAUUUACAUACACACAUCAGCAAAACAUCACUAUUUGCUGGAGUAACAUUACACGUAAGGGACCUCUUUCUAUCCUUGUAGAGGCCUCUCAAAUUUCCUGUUGUCUUCUGCUUUCUUUCAAAAAUAUUUACAGUGUACUUAUAAACUUACAGAGAGAUAAGGUAACUUUUAUCAAUGACUCCAAAAGCCCUAAGGGCAACCAUAAACAAAAGGCUUACUUAUUCUUUCCCUCUCCCUACAAAUACUUUUCAAAUUCUAAAAGAUGAUGCUGUGAAAGUACUGCACUCAAUAUGCCA
rnacentral:lncRNA from 1 species